rnacentral:rRNA from 1 species
GUGGAUUAGAUACCCUGGUAGUCCACACCGUAAACGUUGGGCGCUAGGUGUGGGGUCCAUUCCACGGAUUCCGUGCCGCAGCUAACGCAUUAAGCGCCCCGCCUGGGGAGUACGGCCGCAAGGCUAAAACUCAAAGGAAUUGACGGGGGCCCGCACAAGCGGCGGAGCAUGCGGAUUAAUUCGAUGCAACGCGAAGAACCUUACCUGGGUUUGACAUACACCCUGCCGCUCCAGAGAUGGGGCUUCUUUUGGGGGUGUACAGGUGGUGCACGGCCGUCGACAACU